GCUGAAGGUAGUAAGUCAUUGUUGGUAGAAUGGAGAUUUUCAUAGCCUAAUCUUACUGCUCAUUUGAUUUCUAGCUCUGUUUGUUGCUUAGGAUGUGAUUUCUCAAUUUCCUGCUCCAGCCACCUACUACUUGGUGCCAUGCUUCGUUCCGUGCCACGGUUAUCAUGGAGAGUCAACUAUACAGAAUCUAUAAAACAUGUGAUCCAGGCCUGAGCUGUCCAUCACCUCGGCCAUUCCUACCUGAUUUUCCACUGGUCUGAUCAAGGGCAAGCCUGCUGUUAAGGGAGAGGGAGCAGAGUCAAAUAUGGGAGAACAGCAAUGACAGUCAGAAGAUAUUCUGCUAGAUGUGCCCAAAUGAACUGCGGAAAAUGUAUUAGCUUGAAUACAUGAUUGGGUUCCAACCUACAGCCUAUGUAACAAAUCCAGGUUUGGUGUUAAACGUUUUCAAGCCCAGUGCUGAGGAGGCAAAUCAAGAAGAUCCAUGGGACUUCUUAGUUCAUUAGCAUAGUCAGGCUGGAGAAUUCUGUAUUGGCCUCAAAACAAAACUGUAAACAGUUUCUGAAAUACAUG
rnacentral:sRNA from 1 species